rnacentral:rRNA from 1 species
UACGGAGGAUGCGAGCGUUAUCCGGAUUUAUUGGGUUUAAAGGGUGCGUAGGCGGGACCUUAAGUCAGCGGUAAAAUUGCGGUGCUCAACGCCGUAGAGCCGUUGAAACUGGGGUUCUUGAGUGAGCGAGAAGUAUGCGGAAUGCGUGGUGUAGCGGUGAAAUGCAUAGAUAUCACGCAGAACUCCGAUUGCGAAGGCAGCAUACCGGCGCCCGACUGACGCUGAAGCACGAAAGCGUGGGUAUCGAACAGG